UCGGCUGCCGCACCUCACAGCAGUGGCACGUGGUACUCCGGGUCGGCUGCCGCACCUCACAGCAGUGGCACGUGGUACUCCGGGUCGGCUGCCGCACCUCUCAGGCCUCUCCUGUCUCCAGGACCCUAGCCCCUCUCCUGAGGCUGCUGCAGAAAUCCUCAAGCAUCACAACAGAUUUUUUUUAAUUCAGCUUUUGAAUUGUACUUGGUGGGAAUGUUUGUCUAAGUAAACACCAUCACAGAAGCGGCGGCCCAUGAACUUGAAGGCUUUCAAAGAAUCUCAUGGUUGAUGUAAAAAUCUCACGAGGUGAGCAUCACUUAGCACCAGUGCCGGCAGUUUUGUAAAGCAGAGGAUAACAUCACGGGACCGGCCGGCCUCAGAAUUUCCAGGGUUUGGACACGUGGAAAUCCAAGGCACCCUGCAGCUCAGCCACGGGAGUUCACGUCCGACUCCAGUGAUCCAAGGGUGGGAGUGAGGCCCCCCCUGGGGACCAGUAUUCGCCUCAGCAUGACUAAGGCCAGCGCAGUGUGUCGACGGAUGUGGGGAAGGUGGAGGAAGGAGGCCUGGGGGAGGGGUUCCUCUCACACACAGUUGCAUGGGUGGAUUUCGGGUUGAUGAGGGCGGGGCCGCAUUUUUAGGUGUUUCUACUGACAAGACCAGGGGUAGUUGGGAAAAAGCCCAGCACGUCAACAGCUCAACAGAGAGCAGGCCCCUGAGGUUGACACCAGGUUCCCGUGGAUGCUGGUGAUCUCGUUUGUCCUCAGUCAACCCCCGGAACCACAGAAGAGCACAGGGUGAGACCUGGGGAAAGGCAGACUCCAGCGUCCCGCGGGAGGCCGGGAAGCAAAGGUCUUGGCCCCCCCGGGCCCCGUCCAUCCCGCUUUGGAAGCGCAUCUUGACUCGGAAGCGGCGGCGAGGCAGCGUGGAGACUCACCGCCUCCGGAGGGCAGGGAGGGAGGAACCGUUCGCCGCAGGCACAGCCCGGACACGCUGGGAGCCGCACUCCGUGUUGGCCGUUGGGCUGAUGCCUGUCAGGAGCCGAGGACGAGCUCCGUGGCUCACCUGGGAUGAUUUCAUGUUUCUCUGAGGUAAAGGUUCCUGAUGACUUUUCCUGUGCUGUGAAAUACAUUAAAUAACAAUUUCCACUUUCAAUCCUCGAAUGCACAAUAUUAUAAUAAAAAUACAUAAAAACUACUUUGACAGGAGUAAAAAGCAUCAGCUAAAAAGGAUUAAGAGGUUUGUGGUUGAUGAAAGGGCGUGUCACUGUGGUGAGACCUGAAACAAACCUCACGUGGACGUGUGCUUUUCUCCACAUCAUGCCAAGUGCAGGCUGCUCUGUCAGCUUCGUUCAGCGUCACCCAGAAAAUAAAUUCUCUUUACCUCCCA